GCGGCGGUCCGCCGGUGGUUUUAAUACGUCCGUUCAAGGUCACCGGCUCGCGCAGAGUGGUUAAGGUUAAGCGUUUACACGGACAUGAUGUCAUAGUGACAUCACUCACGUCGUAACCAGUUGUGUUGUUACUUGUUUGAGCGCGCACCGUGUGCGUACGCCGUGUCUCGCCCGUGCACGUUUAAAAACAGACACACGCACGCGUGCUAACAAACGGUUACACACCCGUAAAAAUAUUUCCAGAAAAAAACUCGGUUUAUAAUUGUCCACCCUUUUCCGACUAAAUUUUGUCCGUUGCCCGGGGCCCUUUGCCCUGGUGCCCUAUCGCUUAACGUCCGCCGUGCCGCGUCCGGAUAAAAAAAGUGUUGUCAAGCUGCAGCGUACCGGCGAUGUCGCAUACAUAGUGUGAUAACAAGAAGCCUCCGCCGAACGAAACACCUGUUGAUCAUCUCGAAUGCGCGCGGGAUACGCGACGUGUAAAAUUCACGUAGUUCUCUCAUCGCCGUUCGUCGGUCACUCGUUACGUCGUUAGUACGGAUUUCGGUUAAUACAGUUUUACGAAUGACAACGAAAAAAAACACCAGAAAAACUACUGCACAGCGUAUCAAUAGAAGUAUGAAGUUUCAACACAAUGUG